AUCAACUUUCGAUGGUAGGAUAGAGGCCUACCAUGGUGGUAACGGGUAACGGGGUGUUAGGGCACGACACCGGAGAGGGAGCCUGAGAAACGGCUACCACAUCCAAGGAUGGCAGCAGGCGCGCAAAUUACCCAAUCCCGACACGGGGAGGUAGUGACAAUAAAUAACAAUACGGGGUUCUUUCGGAUUUCGUAAUUGGAAUGAGUACAAUUUAAAUCUCUUAACGAGGAACAAUUGGAGGGCAAGUCUGGUGCCAGCAGCCGCGGUAAUUCCAGCUCCAAUAGCGUAUAUUAAAGUUGCUGCAGUUAAAAAGCUCGUAGUUGAAUUUCGGGACCAAUAUGUCGGUCGUGCCUCGGUACGUACUGGCAUCGUUGGUUUCUCCCUUCUGACGAACCAUGAUGUCAUUCAUUUGGUGUCGUGGGGAAUCAGGACUGUUACUUUGAAAAAAUUAGAGUGUUUAAAGCAGGCUCACGCUUGAAUACAUUAGCAUGGAAUAAUGAAAUAGGACGUUUGAUUCUAUUUUGUUGGUUUCUAGGAUCGACGUAAUGAUUAAUAGGGAUAGUUGGGGGCAUUAGUAUUCAAUUGUCAGAGGUGAAAUUCUUGGAUUUAUUGAAGACUAACUACUGCGAAAGCAUUUGCCAAGGAUGUUUUCAUUAAUCAAGAACGAAAGUUAGGGGAUCGAAGACGAUCAGAUACCGUCGUAGUCUUAACCAUAAACUAUGCCGACUAGGGAUCGGAUGAUGUUAAUUUUUUAAUGACUCAUUCGGCGCCUUACGGGAAACCAAAGUGUUUGGGUUC
rnacentral:rRNA from 1 species